GACGAACCGUGCGAACGUUAUUCGGAAUCACUGGGCUUAAAGCGCGUGUAGGCGGGUCGGCGCGUCGGACGCUGAAAUCCCCCGGCUCAACCGGGGAAGUGGCGCCGAUACGGCCGGCCUGGAGGGACGUAGGGGGGCUGGAACUUCCGGUGGAGCGGUGAAAUGCGUUGAGAUCGGAAGGAACGCCCGUGGCGAAAGCGAGCCCCUGGACGUCUACUGACGCUGAGACGCGAAAGCCAGGGGAGCGAACGGG
rnacentral:rRNA from 1 species